GGAUGAUUGGUAUUUCGCUUGUUUGUUAUCGGUUGUACAACUCUUGCUUGGAAGAUGAGGGCGAAUGGGCUCUCUGUGAAAAGAUUGCUGGGAGUGAGGCCGAUCAGGGUUGGCGGUGAGCUGAUAGAGGUGAAGGUCGGACACAUUGACCGAAUGGAAUCUCUGAUUAACUCUGCACUUAAUCGGCGAAGGCAAUCGAUUACGCCCUUCUGCUUCGUCAACAACUUCAGGUCUCUAACAAUUACGCCCCUAUGCUUCAUGUCGUGCUUCAUGUCUUGUCUUUGACGCUUAUCAAUGAUCAACAAGAAAGAAAAAUUCUGAAACAACUGGUUUUUGAAAACCACCUUCUUGACAUGCAUCAUGAUGCUAGAUUUACACAGUUCAGGCCGUCGAUAAUUGCACUUGUGGGAAUUAUAGCUGAAAGAGAAGAUGGGCUUGGCGACUUCUGGGACCAUGUUUUCGGUUCCGAAUUUGUUGAUCUCAAUGAUCUGGUAAGGAAAUAUAAAAGGAAGUACAAGUUCUGAUCAAGUCCUUGUUGGGGAUUCGAACGUUCCAAACCCACAAGCAAACGCACACAAUCGAAGAACAAACCAAGAACAGAAAACAAAAUAAAGCAAGAAAAGAACAAGACACAGAGAUUACGUGGUUCCGACUUAAGCUGAUUGCUUAAUCGUACGUCCAUAGGGUGCUGGGGUGUUUCUCUAUGAUGAAAAUAUGUCAGAGUCACAAAAAGAGACAGCCCUAACUUUGCUUUUAUAUGCA